UGGGGAAUAUUGGACAAUGGGCGAAAGCCUGAUCCAGCCAUGCCGCGUGUGUGAAGAAGGUCUUCGGAUUGUAAAGCACUUUAAGUUGGGAGGAAGGGCAGUAAGCGAAUACCUUGCUGUUUUGACGUUACCGACAGAAUAAGCACCGGCUAACUCUGUGCCAGCAGCCGCGGUAAUACAGAGGGUGCAAGCGUUAAUCGGAAUUACUGGGCGUAAAGCGCGCGUAGGUGGUUCGUUAAGUUGAAUGUGAAAGCCCCGGGCUCAACCUGGGAACUGCAUCCAAAACUGGCGAGCUAGAGUAGGGCAGAGGGUGGUAGAAUUUCCUGUGUAGCGGUGAAAUGCGUAGAUAUAGGAAGGAACACCAGUGGCGAAGGCGACCACCUGGGCUCAUACUGACACUGAGGUGCGAAAGCGUGGGGAGCAAACAGG
rnacentral:rRNA from 1 species